UAAUCAAUAGAAUUGCCUUGGUCCUGGAGAGGUGUAAGGUUACUUAGGUAUGAAUAACGACACCAUUAUACGCCCUGGGUUUGGUGUCAAACAUGUAUUUCCAAUAUCUGCAAAUUUCAUUUGACUUGAAGUGGGCAUCUUGAGUGGUGAAAUCUACCCUGUUUUCUUAUUAAAAUGCUUGUCACUUUGUGUGGGUUUCAACUUGCUAUUACAUAAUAUUUAGCCAGCCUAACAUUGUACUUAAUACAUUGUAUGUGGUGGAUAUACCUAAUUAAUAUUUACCCAAUCCAAGUCUUGCCCUCUACAAACCUAACACAUGUAUAGCAUAUUCCAAACUCUAUGUUAUAUACUUAACAAUAUUACCUGCAAAAAGGCCAGUUGUUUCUCUUGGUCUUCUUUGCUUUAUAUUUUCUUUCAGAACCCUGGAAAUGGUCUAAGCUAAGUGUUCCAACAGUUUGGUCCUCUGAAGAAGAGCAUCAGCAUCACCUGGGAACUUGUUUAAAAUGGCAAUGCCUUCCAGGGCCCUCGGGAAGCAGAUGUUGUGGCAAGAGAGGAGGUCACUGAAUUGAUCCAACUCCAGGCGGAAAGGAUUUCGGCCUUAAAGGAGGAGAUUGCUCUUUUGCGUAGGAAAGGCAGUCUUAUCCUCCCACCCAUUCAGUCUCCACGAGAGAAAGAGAUACAGCCCGCAGACCUUUGAGUUUGCUAUUUUCUCAAACCCAUA
rnacentral:lncRNA from 1 species